rnacentral:snoRNA from 1 species
UUAUGAUGACAGAUAAUUUAGUCAGUUCUGCUACUGAGUGUUAAUUGAAGAUAAUAUUAUUCUGAAAUUA